rnacentral:rRNA from 1 species
CGCGAAUCGCCCUUGGGGUGCACCAGGCGCGAAAACUUUACAAUGCGGGAAACCGUGAUAAGGGGACACCGAGUGCCAGCAUCAUAUGCUGGCUGUCCGGGUGUGUAAAAUACACCUGUUAGCAAGGGCCGGGCAAGACCGGUGCCAGCCGCCGCGGUAACACCGGCGGCCCGAGUGGUGAUCGUGAUUAUUGGGUCUAAAGGGUCCGUAGCCGGUUUGGUCAGUCCUCCGGGAAAUCUGAUAGCUUAACUAUUAGGCUUUCGGAGGAUACUGCCAGACUUGGAACCGGGAGAGGUAAGAGGUACUAUAGGGGUAGGAGUGAAAUCUUGUAAUCCCUGUGGGACCACCUGUGGCGAAGGCGUCUUACCAGAACGGGUUCGACGGUGAGGGACGAAAGCUGGGGGCACGAACCGGAUUAGAUACCCGGGUAGUCCCAGCCGUAAACGAUGCUCGCUAGGUGUCAGGCAUGGCGCGACCGUGUCUGGUGCCGCAGGGAAGCCGUGAAGCGAGCCACCUGGGAAGUACGGCCGCAAGGCUGAAACUUAAAGGAAUUGGCGGGGGAGCAC